rnacentral:rRNA from 1 species
UACGUAGGUGACAAGCGUUAUCCGGAUUUAUUGGGCGUAAAGGGCACGCAGGCGGCUCUUCAAGUCUGACGUGAAAUCUCUCGGCUUAACCGGGAGCGGUCGUUGGAAACUGAAGGGCUUGAGGCGAUGAGAGGGGUGUGGAAUUCCCGGUGUAGUGGUGGAAUGCGUAGAUAUCGGGAGGAACAUCAGUGGCGAAAGCGGCACCCUGGCAUUAGCCUGACGCUCAUGUGCGAAAGCGUGGGGAGCGAACGGG